ACACGUGCUUAACGGUUUAGAUUUUCUUUCCCCGAGGGCGUGAAAAGCAUUCGCAAAGGUUACGUAAUUCGAAACAUUUCCUAAGCAUGAGAGUUGAUCCCUUAAGCGCACUUACCAAACCUUGACUGAUGAGUAGCACAUACGGUUCAAUUGGAGGUUCAACAAAAAUAAAAAACGACCAUGACUUUUGUGUAUUGUUAAUGUGCACCCUUAGUACUUUAUACUUUCCCAAACAUGUAGGUUUCCGUUCCAUCUCCAGCCAGCUAGAGUUCCAUUUAAAUCCAUCCAAAGGAAUAAAGCAUCGGCAUCACAUUAUAUACGUAAUACCUUCACAAAUACAAGCCCAACCGCAUUUUUGCUCUGCUCGGCAUUCGUCAAUUGGUGAAUACUUAGCCCGAGGGAUGACAUUCUGUAUUUGCUCAGCUUAAAUAUAAAACAAAAAGUAAGAAAAAUAAAAAUAAGAAUAAAAAUAAAAAUGGAGUGUUUGGA